GUUGCAGGGUAUAGACCCGAAACCCGGUGAUCUAGCCAUGGGCAGGUUGAAGGUUGGGUAACACUAACUGGAGGACCGAACCGACUAAUGUUGAAAAAUUAGCGGAUGACCUGUGGCUGGGGGUGAAAGGCCAAUCAAACCGGGAGAUAGCUGGUUCUCCCCGAAAGCUAUUUAGGUAGCGCCUCGUGAAUUCAUCUCCGGGGGUAGAGCACUGUUUCGGCUAGGGGGCCAUCCCGGCUUACCAACCCGAUGCAAACUGCGAAUACCGGAGAAUGUUAUCACGGGAGACACACGGCGGGUGCUAACGUCCGUCGUGAAGAGGGAAACAACCCAGACCGCCAGCUAAGGUCCCAAAGUCAUGGUUAAGUGGGAAACGAUGUGGGAAGGCCCAGACAGCCAGGAUGUUGGCUUAGAAGCAGCCAUCAUUUAAAGAAAGCGUAAUAGCUCACUGGUCGAGUCGGCCUGCGCGGAAGAUGUAACGGGGCUAAACCAUGCACCGAAGCUGCGGCAGCGACACUGUGUGUUGUUGGGUA
rnacentral:rRNA from 2 species